rnacentral:lncRNA from 1 species
UGGAACUACAAAAAGCAGUAACCUCCCACACCACUGGGGACUGCCCAGGCAGAUCCUUUCAGUGACAGCUCCCAUCCACUGCACACACUUGAGUCAUGCAAGAAUAAAGAAAAUGAAGUGAUACAAGACACUGCUCCCUUUCCAAUACUCCUGGCAAUUAUAAGAUGCAAAAGGAGUUUAUAUUUAACCAAGUGAAUCAGAGCUCACAGCACGGCCUGCUGUUUCAGAAUGAGGUGACGGCCCGGGGCUCGCCCUAAGCAGCUUUUAUCGGGGGAUAAAGGGCAAACCUCGACGUGGGUCGGGCUGUCCCGCAGGAUGGGAACGGCACGGACUGAAGCCGCUCCUCCUCAAGCCCUGACCCAGUUCUCACGCAGAGCCUUGGCAGCUCGCCGCAGGUCAGCGAUUCCAUGUGCCUCCGUGCCUUUCCUUCAGGUGUUUGUAAGAAAGCC